rnacentral:rRNA from 1 species
CCUACGGGCGGCAGCAGUGAGGAAUAUUGGUCAAUGGGCGCGAGCCUGAACCAGCCAAGUAGCGUGAAGGAUGACUGCCCUACGGGUUGUAAACUUCUUUUAUAAAGGAAUAAAGUGAGGCACGUGUGCCUUUUUGUAUGUACUUUAUGAAUAAGGAUCGGCUAACUCCGUGCCAGCAGCCGCGGUAAUACGGAGGAUCCGAGCGUUAUCCGGAUUUAUUGGGUUUAAAGGGAGCGUAGAUGGGUUGUUAAGUCAGUUGUGAAAGUUUGCGGCUCAACCGUAAAAUUGCACUUGAUACUGGCAGCCUUGAGUGCAGGUGAGGUAGGCGGAAUUCGUGGUGUAGCGGUGAAAUGCUUAGAUAUCACGAAGAACUCCGAUUGCGAAGGCAGCUUACUAAGCUGCCACUGACAUUGAUGCACGAAAGUGUGGGUAUCAAACAGGAUUAGAUACCCUAGUAGUC